rnacentral:misc_RNA from 1 species
GUGGGAGGGGGCUUGCCCCCGAUAGCGGUGUGUCAGUCAGCAUGCAUCUGUCUGACCGACCGCUAUCGGGGGCAAGCCCCCUCCCAC